rnacentral:lncRNA from 1 species
GGGGAUUUGGCCCUUGGGUCUGAUAUACCACAGUUUCCCCCCAAACAACUGAAGCCUGUGAACUCAUGCUUGAAAUCAGCCUUAAAGGUCAUCUAGUUCACUGGCUUUGGGAGGAAAAAAAAUGUUUUGAAACAAUGGGAACUUCAAAAAAAAACAAAUGCCUGUGUAACACCCAGGCUUUUUACAAGGUAUCUAAAUACUUAAGUAUUGAACGAGACAGGAGGGAGUCUGAUCUUGAAGACAUCUGCAAAGAAGGUGGGACAACAAACAGAGUUCUUCAUUAACUGCGUUUCCGCUGAGCUGAGCAAGUCGGCCACGAAGGGAACAGAACAGCCAUGUGUUUACAUAAGUCAAUCACAGCGUUUUAUUUUUGUUGUUGUUUUUUAAUCUCAAAGCCAUAGUUAAAAUCCCCUCCAGAUUCUACUAACUCAGAAAUAGACCCAAGAAGGUAAAAAAUGUUUUGAUUCUCAACUUUAUUAGCAGUAAAAGUGGUUAUGGAGGGGAAAAAGAAGUUUUAUCCUGAGGUCCCCUUCCUACAUCUCUCAUAGCUCUACCCAUGGUGAAUUGGAAAUGAAGAGCCCCAUGUGAACAGCAAACCUGAUUCUUCCACUUAGUGGCAGGGUGAGAAGCUGCUUCUGAGAGAACAAAGGCCUGUCGGGGCCUGCAGGAGGCCGAACACACCUGCCAGCUUACUGAUGAGAACCUGAAGCAGAGUCAGCCCACAAUGCCUCGGGGGAGGAAACCCAGAAAGGAUUCUAAAGGCUGGGCCACAGCACCAUUAACCCCACAAUAGCCUUACGAUUGUCAGACUCUCCUCCUUUCACUAAUUAAAUAAACAUCU